UACAGAGGGUGCGAGCGUUGUUCGGAAUUAUUGGGCGUAAAGCGCGUGUAGGCGGGAUGGCAAGUCGGGUGUGAAAGCCCUCAGCUCAACUGAGGAAGUGCGCCCGAAACUACCGUUCUUGAGUGCCGGAGAGGGUGGCGGAAUUCCCGGUGUAGAGGUGAAAUUCGUAGAUAUCGGGAGGAACACCAGUGGCGGAAGCGGGCCACCCUGGACGGGACACUCGACGCUGGAAGACG
rnacentral:rRNA from 1 species